GUAUGGUCAGGCGGGAUCAUCUGCCAGCUGGAGGUCUCAGGACUGUGGAAAACCAUGUAUUCUAGCAGUAUAUUCUCUGGCCCAGCCGACCAUUACUAUCUUCAUAACGCUUAUGAAACUGUGCCUUCUCUAAGGCCAUUCACAGCUCUCGACUGGGCUAUCCUUCUUUGCCCUCUGUGCAUAAUUUCAUGCUUAUUUGAUCUCCCCAACCUCUGCACUGACCUGGCUUCUUGUGUUAUAUCCUAAACAACUUGUUCUUGGUUUCAUCCACUCAGUUCUCUGGAUCAGCCAGCUUCACACAGAAGUGACAGCACUUCUGAAAUCCCCUCUUAGUCACUUUUGUAACUUCAACCUCUGCUAAAGGUAGACACUCACUCUAUAGACCAGGCCUUGAGCUCAAAGAUCCACCUGCCUCUGCCCCCUGGCCCCCUCCACCUCCCCACGAGUGCUGGGACUAAAGGUGUGAACCACCACCACCACCACCACCACCACCCAGCUCCCUUGUUUUCUUAACAUUGAUCUAUUUAUAACUAGAGUGAGCAAAGCAGUGGUGGUGCACAACUUUAAUCCCACCACUCAGGAGGCAGAGGCAGGUGGAGCUCUGUGAUUUCGAGGCCAGCCUGGUCUACAAUAUGAGUUCCAGGACAGCCAGGGAUACACAGAGAAACCCUGCCUCAAAAAGAAAAUCAAAUAAACCCCCACAGAGUUACACCUUAUCCACUGCCCAAUGUCCUGCCAUUGGUUCCCAGACCAGAGCCUAGAGCCUGAAAUGGUCAUAUGCUCAGGCCCCAUUGCAAAGGACAGUGGGAAGGCACCUGCUUGUCUAACCUCUGGGGUGGCAAAGCUCGGGAGGGACUCCUCCUUAGGCAGCAGAGAUGCUCACUGGUGUGGGCUGUGCACACUCUGGUUUUCUUUCCUCUAAACUUGUGGGCCCCCAGGUUCAAGCUUUUAAUUUUCAGGUUUGCAUAUCUAUAAGUGCCUCCGUGUAUCUAUGUGGACCACAUGUAUGCCUGGUGCCUGUGGAAAUGAGAAGAAAGCAUUGAAUCCCCUCAAAAAGUGUUCUUAACCCCUUAGCCAUCUCUCCAGCCCCAGGUUCAAAUCCUGAGCACCGUCUGAACUAGUCCUGUGUCCAAGACAGUAUCAUCAAACCCUGCCCUUCCCGCCUUGUGCCAGCUCGCGCUUUUUCUUACAUCUGUAUGUUGAUGCUUAGCAGGUUCCUUGAAUGCUUGGUUUAUGUGCCUGGCUGGAGGAGACACCCAUGGCCUUGCAGAGGGAGCGUUCUGGUGGGAAAGCAGACACAACCCACCCUAGGCCCGUGGUUUCCCUGCAAGAAGCCCAGUGGCUUUCUGGAGGACACUUUUCCUGGAGGAAGUGACUCAAGGUAUUCAGGGGGUUGGGUAGGGGAAAUAUCAAGGAAGUAAGAAAGAACAUGGUAUAUGUGGGGACUUGCCUGACCCUCCAAAGAAGUGGAGCCUUAGAUGCUGAAGCAGAGAAACUGGCUUAAUGGCCUGGGGUUUAAGGAAGUCAGCCAUGAGUUAGCUCAGAGAUGCUAGGACGUGGCACCCGGCUGGGUGGUGCUUCGUAAUGUGUAGGAGGCUCACGUGUAUGCAACCUACUGGCUUCUCACAUUAGAAGCAAAAAGGUUUGAAGAAGUUAAGUACUGCAAGGCCAAUUGGUACUAGAAUGGAGACAGAGAGGAAGUUCUACUUAGAAACUUUCUAGAAGAAGAAAGGGGAUAAUGAGAGCAAGGAGAGAGAUCCAGGGCUUAGUCUGAGGGGAUUCUGUGAGAGCAACUGAGGUAGGGAGAAGAGCCGUGUGCGUGCUGGUCCCGAGGCUGCAAUGUAAGCAACAUGCCAAGCUUUACACAAAGGCUUCUCUGUAAGAGGCCUUGGCAGUGGCUGUCAGGUGAGGGGACUUAGCUCUCAGGGCCUUCAGGGCAUUGGGGGUAGGGCUGGAGGUGGCCUCAGACUUCCAGCAGGUCCACAUCAAAAGAAAGACUCUAAGCCUGGCUAGAACUCCCACAGAGGCUAUAUAGAGCUGGUUCCAGGCCAGGCUCCUGCCCACUGCCCAGUCAGGCCGCCAGGUCUAGGCUCAGCCUCUGCCCACCUCCUAUUCUUCCAGCUGUGCCCCCUGCACCUUCUAGCAUCUCCUUUUUCAGCCCACACAUGCCCUCCCAGGUUAUGGGUCUGGUCUCACUGGGCCCGAGCAAGUACCACAGGGAACCUCUUACACUGAGGACUGUAUUGGGAAGGAGAGAAACCACUGACCAGAAGCAAAAAGGUGUCUCGGGAGGAAGGGGGUCACUGUUUCAAGCACUCUGCUCUCCAUCUUCUUCAGCACAAGUUCUUGGUGGCCUCAAUUCACGGUCUCUUCCUGUUGAUCAGCAGUGGGCAGAGACCACCUCCCUCAUUGCCGCUUUGGGUUUGGACCGCUUUAAACAGUAAAGUGACUGUCGACGGCUCAGUCUACAGGGAGGAGAACAAAAGACAGGGUCAGGGCUGGGCAGACUGGACAGGAGCAGCAUAAGCCAGGCUCUAUGGAAUGUUGGGUGAGCUGCUUGAGGAACUCCAAGGCCUGUCCCACAGUCUUCCAGCCUCCGACUCUCCGGCCCUCAGCGAGGAAGUCCCACUGGUUUUUUUGGUUGGUUUUUUUUUUUUUUUUUAAGGUUUUUUGGUUUUUUUUUUUUUUUCUCAUUCCUGUCUUGGGAGCUUUCCCCAACCAGGAGAGUGAAGAUGGGCGGAGCUGUCACACCAACUGUUAGCCUGCCUUGGCUGAGAGGAGAGGAGGCGAGGAGGGAGCGACCACCCAGCUUUAGUCGUUUUAAAACAGCUCCUGACCCUAGAAGAAGGGAAAUGGAGAUGAAGACCCAAUUGACUUGGCUUCCCUCCCUCCCAGUGCUGAUUUCCUGUGGACCAGAUUCCAGCACAGUGGAGGGCCAGAGCUCAGGGAACAGACCCAGCAGCACAGCAAGUCUCCAAGGAAAGCUCUAGCAGUCUCCAGGGGCUGAAGGCAGGACUGGGGAAGCGGCUAGCCAGGCUGCAGAAGGCAAAUGCUCCCAGACGGCUGUCCAGCACGCAUCCGCCUUCCUAGCCAAGUUUCCUGGGCUCCUGCCACAGAUCUAAGCCUCAUCCUGACAUCCUGCCCUCUGUGCUCUGGGAUGGCCCAGGGGAGAUGCUUAGCCUUGGCUCCUUGUCUGCUGGUGGAGGGGACACACACCCUUUCUGGACCACAGACCAAAAAGAAGACCUGACGUCAUCCUGAGCACCCCCGCCAUGCAGAGUGUGUUCGCAGACUGCCAACGGGCUGGCUCCGGCCAGCAGAAGUGAACAGAGGUGGAGGUUCAGCCUGACAGCUUCUCCCCAAAGCCAUGGAGAGAAAACCUUACCACCCCCACCGCCCAGCUACUUCCAGCAAGUUGUCCAGCCUGACCCCUCUAUUUCCCCUGUUGUCUCUUAUCUGGGUCCCUGAGACCCACCCCAUCUCCAAUAAAGAACAUUGCAUACUGUGCAUCCACUACUGAACAACAUAGUCACACCAGGCAGGGCUCCCUAAAGCCUACCUGCAUGGCCAGCGUGGUCCGAGGACAGUGUGCUCUCCCCACCCUGUCUGCUAGCCUCCAGCUUCAUGGGAACUCCAUUAAUCAUGGGAUUCCGAGAUCAUCAGAGCAAUAGGAUCACUCCGUCUCCAGGGGAGCACAAGGCAAGAGCCAGAGCGGGACUGUUCUUCAGUCAAGGGGCAGGGGUUGCUGCCUCU
rnacentral:lncRNA from 1 species